UCCAACCUUUUUGUGAUCAAUGCAAUCAAAAUCAUUGUAAUACCAGAUGCAAGUGUUCUGCACUUUUCCUUAAACAUUCUUAAAGCAACCAAUGCCUUCCUUUUCCCCUUUUAUCUGUUCCUACUAUUUGUACGCCUCUAGGAUGGAUUAUUAGCAAGUGUUGGCUUUGCAAUCUAUCCUGGGUAAAUGGAAUUUGCAAUGUGAUAGAAAAAUGUACUUUGUCACAAAAUACCCUAGAGAUUAAUGCCCUUUUUUUGCUCACAGCACAAAAUCCAAUCUCCAUAGAGUACUUUCUGUGUAAGUUAAAUGAUAAUGGAUUGUGUCUCAUCCCACAGGGAAUCAUCCUUAACCAAACAAAAUACACGUAAGAGAGAGAAUUCUACAGCCCAAACACAGGGAUGGCUGAUAAAUGUACUAUAAACAGGGGAGAUUUGUUUGUGUUUUAAGACAAAAAAAAGGAUAAGGAUAAAAGUUGAUAAUUUUCUCUUAGUUUCUCAUGCAUAUUGUAGACAAGAUAAAUAUAGCAAACAAAAAUAGAGUGAUAGUGUCAAUACCUAUGAAUUGUGUCAAAUAGGCAACAGUAGAAUAUUUGUUAUGGUAAUUUAAAACAGAUAAUUCAAGUAAAAUGGUAGAGCAAACAUUUGUGAUGUUUGUUUAUGUGAGACAAAAUCCAAAAUCUUACUAGUUCUAGAAGAUGAAGCCAGAAGAGCUGCUUAGGUUGUAUCACAUUUUCCAACGAGACUUAUUGAAAUUUUAGAGUUGCUGAGAGUAAUUAAGUCUGCAGAAAAGACUUUCUUUUUUACAGUGCAAUCAGAUAUGAUUUUUAUCAGUUCUUCAAUCCUCUAGUUUCAUUCUUUCAAUGAACAGUUCCUCAGCUUUAACAAAACCUAUUGUUUUAUUGUUAGGAAAUUCUGGAGUUUUACUGUACAUCCCAAAGCAAAUAUUGAUACGUGACUUUGCUUUUGCAAAUGGCAUUUCACUGUGGGCCUAAAUGAUCUCUAGGAAUUCUUUUCUUUUUACCCAUGGACCUUCUGUUGUACUUCUUCCCUUCUGUCCUUUCCAGCUGCAGGUGUCAUCAGCAGAGCAGCACAAGCAGCACGUGCUGAGGAGACAGCUGCAGCCUUUCCUCCAGCCCGGCAGGAGCUCCCAGAACCAGCGGGAAUGGAUCGGGUGCCCCAGGUCAUCAGUGCCCCCUGACCCAGAUGAGAACAUGCCAGCAGAAUGUUGGCACAGGUUAACCUAUCAUCUGAGCAGAGUGGUUAGUAGUGUAUGGGUAGGAUGUAGCAUACUCUGUUCUGAAAUAGAACUGUUACAGAUUUGUUGUUAUUGGCAUAAAGGUUAUAGAGAUUGAUGAUUCCAGAGUUCUUAGCACACUUUGCAAAGCGAGAAGGGGGACAGCCCUCUUCUAUUGCCCUGCAGAAGUGUUUCAUGGGUUGGAGUCUUUUGCACACAGGUGCUCUCUGGGUAUCUGCACGAUGGAGGAGGCCUUGGGAAGAAGCUGGUUCUUCAGAACAAGCUGGAUGAGGUUCCUGCAGAGUUGAUGUGACUGACUUCUUUUUGAAAUGCAGCAGUGCUCUCAAGGAUAUUUCCCCCCCACUCCUGGCCUUGUGCAGGGCUGUUGAGUCCAUGUGUGCCACUGUUCUUGUCCCAGGGGGACCGAGUGACAUUUGGAACCAAACCUGGGUCCUUGGGACCGAGCCCAGAACUGAUCCUGUUCAUGACCCACAAGGGAUGAAACUGUUCUGCAAGCCCAGUUUGCAGAGCAGGAGCUUUGCAAUAAUCAGCAGUGAGCACAGGAAUUCAUUCCCCCGAAAUGUUCUGGGAAGGUUCUGUGUGUGCCAGCCCUGCUUCCUCCCCAGUGUGCCCUCCUUUGUGCUCCUCUGCCUCAAGGCCAGGGCUGGCUUUGGCCCUGCCCUUGUCCAGGCAGGAGUGCCCGUGGGCAGUGGGUUUGUCAGCAGUGGGCACAGCUCCCAGGGGCUGUUCUGGCUUUGGCCCUGCCCUUGUCCAGGCAGGAGUGCCCGUGGGCAGUGGGUUUGUCAGCAGUGGGCACAGCUCCCAGGGGCUGUUCUGGCUUUGGCCCUGCCCUUGUCCAGGCAGGAGUGCCCGUGGGCAGUGGGUUUGUCAGCAGUGGGCACAGCUCCCAGGGGCUGUUCUGGCUUUGGCCCUGCCCUUGUCCAGGCAGGAGUGCCCGUGGGCAGUGGUUUGUCAGCAGUGGGCACAGCUCCCAGGGGCUGUUCUGGCUGGGCACACGUUGGCACAGGGGUACUGCAGUCCCAAGGACUUGGGGCUUUUCAGGAAGGGCCAGAAAGACUUUCUUUGGCCACUUUUACCAUUCCUGAAAGUGAAAUCUCUGCACUGAAACUUCUCUAAAUA